GAUGAACGCUAGCGGCAGGCCUAACACAUGCAAGUCGAGGGGCAGCGUGGAAGUAGUUUACUACUUCUGACGGCGACCGGCGCACGGGUGCGUAACGCGUAUGCAACCUACCUAUAACAGGGGGAUAAUUCCGAGAAAUUGGUUCUAAUACCCCAUACUAUAUUGAAUGGCAUCAUUUGAUAUUGAAAGUUCCGGCGGUUAUAGAUGGGCAUGCGUUGUAUUAGCUAGUUGGUGAGGUAACGGCUCACCAAGGCGACGAUACAUAGGGGGACUGAGAGGUUAGCCCCCCACACUGGUACUGAGACACGGACCAGACUCCUACGGGAGGCAGCAGUGAGGAAUAUUGGUCAAUGGACGCAAGUCUGAACCAGCCAUGCCGCGUGCAGGAUGACGGCUCUACGAGUUGUAAACUGCUUUUGUAUAGGGGUAAAUGCAGAUACGUGUAUCUGUUUGAAAGUACUAUACGAAUAAGGAUCGGCUAACUCCGUGCCAGCAGCCGCAGUAAGAC
rnacentral:rRNA from 1 species